UUGUUGCUUUUGGCGCUUCUGCUGCCAUGAGCUGUGGUCCCUCUGCCACCCUGCCUUGGAGCCAGCCGAGCCGUGAACUGAUCUGAAUACUUGGGCAAAACCUGGUCCAGCAGUUCAGUGAUGCUGCAGUUCCCCCUCUCCUUCUGUGUCUUUCAACUCAGCCUUCUCCGGCAGCAGGUUGGGAAGUGAUCUGUGCCCCUUAACGUGGAAGAUUUCAAACGCUGGAUAUUUUGCACUUG